GACAGAGGUCCCGAGCGUUGGGCGGAAUCACUGGGCUUAAAGCGUGCGUAGGCGGAUUGGUAAGUACCUUGUGAAAUCCCACGGCUUAACCGUGGAACUGCUUGGUAUACUGCUUAUCUUGGGCCACUUAGGGGUUACCGGAACAAACGGUGGAGCGGUGAAAUGCGUAGAUAUCGGGAGGAACGCCGGUGGCGAAAGCGACUGUCUGGGGUGCAUGUGACGCUGAGGCGCGAAAGCCAGGGGAUCAAACGGG
rnacentral:rRNA from 1 species